UCUGAGAGAAGCAGGGACAAUCUGAAGAGGUUUUAGAGAAAGUGUCUCCUGUUCAUUAUUGCACGAGCAACGUAAGAACCAGCACCAGAAUAUACCUGGCUCUUUUCUCCUUCUCUUUUUUCCAAGAUAUUGUCCUGUUCAUACGCUAUCCAAAAGGAGCAGAAACUGCCCCAGAAAGUUUUCAACCAUUACAUGGAAGUGCAGCCACCUCUGGAAAGAAACCUGGGACCUUUUUGACAGCUAUAUUAUACAGCAUUGUAGCACAGACUGGAGGAAAGAAAAUAAUAUGCCCAUCUGAAAUUGUGAAGGGGAGAUGGGGGAGAAGACAGUAAGUAGCCAAAAAGGAAAAUAAUAGGAGCAACACCUAACUCCUCAGUAAGGAGGUGGAAGAGAAUGAAUGACCGCACAUGGAUAGACAGUGGAUGUUAUGUUUUAUGCCAGAAAUUUUCAGCCUGGACCAUAGAAGCUCGGGCAUCCAUAGACUUUUUCUGAGAGAGCUGAGAAAGCCAACAGAGGAAAGUGAGCCAACUGCAAGGGCUUAUUUUAGACUUCCACCUCCAGCAGGCAAAGCUUUAGGGGGCUUCAAACCAAAACAGGGUGGAAAUCAGUGUUUUUUUCCAAAACAGGUCAGCCAGACCCCAUCAACACCACAAGGUGGGGUUAGUCCAGCGUAGAUCCGCUGCCGACAAACGCCAGGUAGUGAAUAAUAAUUGCAGUCCCACUUCCUGCAGCAAUUUCUCCAUAGAGGUUUCUUAUUGACCCAGUGCAGUUUAGCUUGUGAGAUGUGAUGAAAUCAUAGCCGGAGGGUUUAUGGCAGUGGCUGCGGGCUAUUAAAGCUCAGAUGCCAUCCUUAA